UACGGGGGGAGCAAGCGUUGUUCGGAUUUACUGGGCGUAAAGGGCGCGUAGGCGGCGCAACAAGUCACUUGUGAAAUCUCCGGGCUUAACCCGGAGCGGCCAAGUGAUACUGUCGUGCUAGAGUGCGGAAGGGGCUACUGGAAUUCUCGGUGUAGCGGUGAAAUGCGUAGAUAUCGAGAGGAGCACCUGCGGCGAAGGCGGGUUGCUGGGCCGACACUGACGCUGAUGCGCGAAAGCCAGGGGAGCGAACGGG
rnacentral:rRNA from 1 species